UAAGUUAGCUAGACAACCGCUGUUUUUUAUUUUUUUAUAAUCAUUAAUAAAAAUAUAAAAAGUAGAGGAAAGUCCGGGCUCCUUAGGGCAGGGUGCCAGAUAACGUCUGGGAGGGUAAUCCUACGACUAGUGCAACAGAAAAUAAACCGCCAAUGACUUUAAAAAGUACAGGUAAGGGUGAAAAGGUGUGGUAAAAGCACACCACACAAUUGGUAACAAUUUUGUGGUAUGGUAAACUCCACCCGGAGCAAGGCCAAAUAAAGGUUCACUAAAUACGGCCCGUAUUGAACCUGGGUAGGCCGCUCGAGUUAAUACGUGAGUGUUAACCUAGAUGAAUGGUUGUCCAUGACAGAACCCGGCUUAUUGAUUGACUUUUAAA
rnacentral:RNase_P_RNA from 1 species